GAUGAACGCUGGCGGCGUGCCUAAUACAUGCAAGUCGAGCGAACGGACGAGAAGCUUGCUUCUCUGAUGUUAGCGGCGGACGGGUGAGUAACACGUGGAUAACCUACCUAUAAGACUGGGAUAACUUCGGGAAACCGGAGCUAAUACCGGAUAAUAUUUUGAACCGCAUGGUUCAAAAGUGAAAGACGGUCUUGCUGUCACUUAUAGAUGGAUCCGCGCUGCAUUAGCUAGUUGGUAAGGUAACGGCUUACCAAGGCAACGAUGCAUAGCCGACCUGAGAGGGUGAUCGGCCACACUGGAACUGAGACACGGUCCAGACUCCUACGGGAGGCAGCAGUAGGGAAUCUUCCGCAAUGGGCGAAAGCCUGACGGAGCAACGCCGCGUGAGUGAUGAAGGUCUUCGGAUCGUAAAACUCUGUUAUUAGGGAAGAACAUAUGUGUAAGUAACUGUGCACAUCUUGACGGUACCUAAUCAGAUAGCCACGGCUAACUACGUGCCAGCAGCCGCGGUAAUACGUAGGUGGCAAGCGUUAUCCGGAAUUAUUGGGCGUAAAGCGCGCGUAGGCGGUUUUUUAAGUCUGAUGUGAAAGCCCACGGCUCAACCGUGGAGGGUCAUUGGAAACUGGAAAACUUGAGUGCAGAAGAGGAAAGUGGAAUUCCAUGUGUAGCGGUGAAAUGCGCAGAGAUAUGGAGGAACACCAGUGGCGAAGGCGACUUUCUGGUCUGUAACUGACGCUGAUGUGCGAAAGCGUGGGGAUCAAACAGGAUUAGAUACCCUGGUAGUCCACGCCGUAAACGAUGAGUGCUAAGUGUUAGGGGGUUUCCGCCCCUUAGUGCUGCAGCUAACGCAUUAAGCACUCCGCCUGGGGAGUACGACCGCAAGGUUGAAACUCAAAGGAAUUGACGGGGACCCGCACAAGCGGUGGAGCAUGUGGUUUAAUUCGAAGCAACGCGAAGAACCUUACCAAAUCUUGACAUCCUUUGACAACUCUAGAGAUAGAGCCUUCCCCUUCGGGGGACAAAGUGACAGGUGGUGCAUGGUUGUCGUCAGCUCGUGUCGUGAGAUGUUGGGUUAAGUCCCGCAACGAGCGCAACCCUUAAGCUUAGUUGCCAUCAUUAAGUUGGGCACUCUAAGUUGACUGCCGGUGACAAACCGGAGGAAGGUGGGGAUGACGUCAAAUCAUCAUGCCCCUUAUGAUUUGGGCUACACACGUGCUACAAUGGACAAUACAAAGGGCAGCGAAACCGCGAGGUCAAGCAAAUCCCAUAAAGUUGUUCUCAGUUCGGAUUGUAGUCUGCAACUCGACUACAUGAAGCUGGAAUCGCUAGUAAUCGUAGAUCAGCAUGCUACGGUGAAUACGUUCCCGGGUCU
rnacentral:rRNA from 1 species